CGAUUCAGCAGCGGUUGCCAUGGAAACGAUCAAUGCAUCUGUCAAAAUCUGUAACUCAGAGCUCCCUGAAGACGCCCAUCACCUACAGGAGUAUAUUAAACUUCAAACACAGAAACGAUGGAGGAAUAUCUAGCAGAGGAGAAUACAAACAGCAGCAACAAAAUGAGCUCAUCAGCAGAGAAACAGACGAGCAAAAACCUAGCCGGA